rnacentral:rRNA from 1 species
UACAGAGGUCCCAAGCGUUGUUCGGAUUUACUGGGCGUAAAGGGCGCGUAGGCGGCUUAACAAGUCACUUGUGAAAUCUCCGGGCUUAACUCGGAACGGCCAAGUGAAACUGUCAAGCUAGAGUGCAGAAGGGGCAAUCGGAAUUCUUGGUGUAGCGGUGAAAUGCGUAGAUAUCAAGAGGAACACCUGAGGUGAAGACGGGUUGCUGGGCUGACACUGACGCUGAGGCGCGAAAGCCAGGGGAGCAAACGGG